rnacentral:tRNA from 1 species
GCAGUCUUGGCCUUGUGGUUAAGGCGAUGGACUAUAAAUCCAUUGGGGUCUCCCCGCACAGGUUCGAAUCCUGUCGACUGCG